GAUGAACGCUGGCGGCGUGCCUAAUACAUGCAAGUCGAGCGAACAGACGAGGAGCUUGCUCCUCUGACGUUAGCGGCGGACGGGUGAGUAACACGUGGAUAACCUACCUAUAAGACUGGGAUAACUUCGGGAAACCGGAGCUAAUACCGGAUAAUAUAUUGAACCGCAUGGUUCAAUAGUGAAAGACGGUUUUGCUGUCACUUAUAGAUGGAUCCGCGCCGCAUUAGCUAGUUGGUAAGGUAACGGCUUACCAAGGCAACGAUGCGUAGCCGACCUGAGAGGGUGAUCGGCCACACUGGAACUGAGACACGGUCCAGACUCCUACGGGAGGCAGCAGUAGGGAAUCUUCCGCAAUGGGCGAAAGCCUGACGGAGCAACGCCGCGUGAGUGAUGAAGGUCUUCGGAUCGUAAAACUCUGUUAUUAGGGAAGAACAAAUGUGUAAGUAACCAUGCACGUCUUGACGGUACCUAUUCAGAAAGCCACGGCUAACUACGUG
rnacentral:rRNA from 1 species